UGACAGUGUGUGUUUGGUGUUUGAAGAUUAGUGGCAUGGUUGACAUUCCGUUGAAUCCUGGGCUAAACUCACUGAUUGUUCUAGGAGCUUGGCUGAUCUGGAAUCAAAGAAGUGACUGUGACUGUGUUUUCAGUUGUGAUGUGCCUAGCCUUCAAAAGGUUUUCAGCAUCGCCGGCAAAGAAGCUCGCCUCUGGGGCUUGGCUGGGGUGAAAGGUUUAUAGCAGCUAGCUGCGACUGGCCCUUAGCCUAGUGUUGUUUCUGUAGGUCAUUAUUGUGUUUCUGUGGUGCGAAUGUAAUCUGUUAGGAUGUGUUGAACUUCAAUACUUUCUUCUUCUUAAUGCAAUGUUCUAGGGAAAAACACUUCCACUGAUUUUUUUUAUUUAAUUGGUAUACAAGUAAUUAAGAAAUAAAAUAAGGAGAAAUUGAUGGCCUGAUACCAUACAAACGUGAGAACAAUGUCCAACAUGUUUCAAAUGCUGUACAUCUGGGAUAUAUUGAUUUCUCCAUGUAUUGUUGCUAGCAGUGCUACAGAUCCAUGGGAGGCAGCCCUAAAGUGUGAUAGUUGAUGAGCUGCAACCAUGCAGCUCACUGCUGGAGGAAAUUUGGCUGAAAGCAAUAGAGACAUUGGUGACAGGAUGGGUGCAAUAUUCUAAAAACUAGCAAAUGCCCAUCUACUAGGAGUAGUAGUUAUAUACUUAUAAGUCUUCUUGUCCUGGUCAUGCGGACAGGUAUGGUCACCUAUUUCUUGCAGAUAUUUCCCGUUUUUAGAAAACUGGGAGAGAGUAACAAGGAUGAUGGCUAUUGAGCCGUGAUCCAGGCCAUCACCAUGGGGAUGUCAUGACCAAGGCCAGUAACAGCAGGCCGACAGUUGAUCCUGUUCAGGAGGAGCAUGGCUGUGGCAGCCAUCUUGACAAGUCUGGCGGCUGAUGUGGAGGAUAUAAAUUAUUGAGGGUUCUAAAGAAUCAUUCAAACCAUAUAUUGAGGAAAAUGUGAAAAGCGAAAGGCUCACACCCAGCUGUUUGGAUUCCUCAAAUGCGGUGUGAGGGUGCCCUUCCGAACCAAAUGGGAGUAAGAUAUUCUCAUAUUUUUCUUAUCCUGCUAUUGCUUCACGGAGCUAAUGCUGCUUUGAAGGACCCAGUGCAGAAAUGGCGGACUCUAAGUGGUACUCCUCCAUUAGUCAUAGCUCGUGGUGGGUACUCUGGGCUGUUCCCUGAUUCAAGCCAAUCUGCGUACCAGUUUGCCCUGGUAAAUAGUCUCCCUGAAGCUGUUCUUUUCUGCGAUCUGCAACUUUCUAGCGACAACGUUGGAUUCUGCACGACUGGCUUGGCACUUGACAACUCAAUGCUAAUAGCUGAGGUCUUCCCUAAUAAUGCCAAGACAUACAAAGUGAAUGGAGAAGACCUGCAUGGAUGGUUUUCAGUCGAUUUCACUUCAAAUCAGUUAAUGGACAACGUCACAUUGAUCCAGAAUGUUCUGUCUCGCCCGAGCGUAUUUGAUGGUACCAUGCGAAUGAGCCUUGUUGAUGAUGUAGGACUCCACCCUGCUCAACUUUGGAUUAAUGUACAGACUUUUGCCUCAGGAAUUCUCGUCCCCAAGAAUUACAUUUGGCCUGUGAACAAGGAUCAGUACUUGCAGCCAGCUACUACUUUGGUGAAAGAUGCUCAUGCCCUAGGCUUGGAGGUCUAUGCAUUUAAGUUUGCCAAUGAUGUCAUCUCAAGUUAAAACUACAGCUAUGAUCCUAGUGCCGAGUAUUUGCAGUUAAUUGAUAAUUCUGACUUCUCUGUUGAUGGUGUCCUCACGGACUUCCCGUCCACAGCUUCAGCAGCCAUUGCCUGUUUAGCACAUACUAAGGACAACCCUCUUCCUCCGCCCAGAAAUGAUACCAGGCCACUGAUCAUCACCCACAAUGGUGCAAGUGGCAUCUUCCCCGGUGCCUCUGACCUUGCAUAUCGACAAGCAGUGGAAGACGGCACAGAUAUAAUUGACUGUUCAGUACAGAUGUCGGAGGAUGCAGUGCCAUUUUGCAUGGACUCUCCAGAUCUUACAAAAGGCACAACAGCGGCACCAAUGUUCACUACAAAAGUUGCCAAUGUGAAUGAAAUAUAGAACGGGUCUGGUAUCUUCUCAUUUGAUCUUUCAUGGAGCGAGAUCCAAACCCUAAAGCCUGACCUUGUUAGCCCGUUCAAUCAAGGACUAAAAAGAAAUCCAGCAGCAAAGAACAGGGGGAAACUCAUGACAUUAGCUGAUUUCCUGGCCUUCUCAAAGAGAAGCAACGUCUCUGGCAUACUAGUUGACAUUCGUAAUGCUCCAUACCUAGCAACCAGAGGAAUGGGCAUUGUGGAUGCUGUUUCCAGUGCACUCGUCAAUGCCAGCUAUGACAAAGAGACCAGGCAGCAGGUCCUCAUUGUGUCCAACGACUCCGCCGUGCUUGUAGCAUUCAGUAAGUUCCCAGGGUUCAAGCGGGUACUCCUGAUCAGCCACAUGAUCAGCGACGCCUCCAAGCAGUCUGUGGAGGAGGUGGCCAAAUUUGCGGAUGCUGUGUCCAUCAGCCGUGGCUCAGUUGUCGAGGCGCAAGGGUCAUUCCUUGUGCGGUUCACUGAUGUGAUCGACAAGAUGCACAGCGCAAACCUGUCAGUGUACAUCGGGGUGCUCAGGGAUGAGUUCAUGAACCUUGCAUUUGACUUCUGCGCUAACCCAAUGGCGGAGAUCGUGCUGUACUCAUCUCUGAUGGCUGAUGGGAUCGUGACCGAAUUCCCUGCGACAGCAGCCGAGUACUUCAGGAGCCCAUGCAGUGACUUCAGUAAGAACCUGACCUACACGGUCAUGCCUCCAAGACCCGGGUCUUUGCUCAACGUGACAGACCCCCAUGCACUGCCACCGGCACAGGGUCGGGCGCCGGUGCUAGAACCCGAUGACGUCGUGGAUCCGCCGCUGCCGCCGGUAACCGUUGGUGGUCAUGGAGCUGCAUCGUCUUCAAAUGAUUCCAGCACUAAGAGCGGAGCCACGUCCGCCGGCGCGAGCUCUGGCCUUUGCUUGUUGGUAGCUGGACUCGCCGCGCUCAUGGCAGUGAGCUCUCGGUGGCCCUGAAGCCUGGGGUGCCGGAAUUGUACUGUGGGUUUGUUUGGAUAUUUUUACGUCCCCGUCAGAGCUGUUUCGUUCUGCAAGAUAAUGUAAUUUAAGCAGGUGACAUUAUAUACAUAGACAGAGAUUAGACAACCUCUUAGUUUUGCAUUUAGAGAUUGGACAUUAUAUGCUAGACUUUUUCUUCGAAACAUAGAUGCAAACACUCUUGUGCACGCACGAGCACCCUAUCCUAACCUGAGACAUGAGCCAUGUCGAUCUCAAGAGCCGCUCCGAGUUGUAGAGUGGAGACUUACCAAUCCAGGUGGACAGCUAAGGUCCAGAUUCGAAGCACUUCGAGUGGCCUCCCAUCCCAUACGAUGAUGCACUUCACAUGGUCAUGUAUUAGCCGUGGCUGCGGCAUCAUGUGAUCAAGUACUAAAUCCAAGAUCAUCCCAGUAUGAUUCCAACAGAAGUUCCUGAACAACUGACAAGGCAACGUCAUGUUUGACCACCUGGUAGCAAGAUGCUUAUUUUCUGCUCUCUGAAUCCUGGGCAACUGAACUGAUAGGUUUAACACGGAGCACUGGAUCUAGUAACACCAGACAGCUAUCUAAUGAGUUCUGGAGAAUGUCUGCAUCAAGGUAAUAGGUAAACCUGAACUUGAGUUCUGCCCUGUAGUUUUUUUAUGCAGAUUUUUUUUAUUCUGUUUCUCUAAGUUUGCUCACCCUGGGUGGCUAACUAACACAUGGUGUGAGAUCUGAUUAAGCUUCAUCACUCAUAUUUCUGUACUAGUUCUUGUAAACUAAUGGAAGAUAAUGCUGAUGCGAUAGUAGAGAUCUGCAGGCUGGAUUUGCCAUGACGGACA